GGUGUGCGUCUGGUCUGGUCUGGUCUCUCCUUGCCUACUCCUCCACCAAAACCUCCCUGUGUGUCUCUUGUGUCCACUCUACUCUAGACCUGCAUGUGUAAUAUCCCUCCUUCUGCCGCCAAGCCCCGCUGACCGCACGGCCCUCUGACUAACUAUCUCAACUGAAUUAGGUCACCGUGCCGCCGGGGGCAGCUGCUGUGCGUCCCACGCGUGAGCGUGGCGGCGCGGGCCACAGAAGGGGAGGACUUUUAGUGUGACACCAGUUGCAGCAGCAGGAAAUCGUUGUCUCUCGCUCUUCUUCGCUACCAAGCACCACCCGUAGCUCCUCUCCACCUGUGAUGGACACCCCAGCCGCUGGACAAGGUGUCGGAGAAGGAAAGAUGGCGUCAAGACAGAAUGAGGUUGUGGCCUUCGGUCUGCCUCGUCCGUCAGACAGAGGGAGGAAGGAGGAGAGGAAGUGGAUAGAUGAAUUGAUUGUCAGGUGAGUAGGUAGUGUAAAGACUCCC